rnacentral:rRNA from 1 species
UAUUAUGAGAGUUUGAUCCUGGCUCAGGACGAACGCUGGCGGCGUGCCUAAUACAUGCAAGUCGAACGCUUCUUUCCUCCCGAGUGCUUGCACUCAAUUGGAAAGAGGAGUGGCGGACGGGUGAGUAACACGUGGGUAACCUACCCAUCAGAGGGGGAUAACACUUGGAAACAGGUGCUAAUACCGCAUAACAGUUUAUGCCGCAUGGCAUAAGAGU